rnacentral:lncRNA from 1 species
UCAUUAGUAAAGAUAGAUGAUUUAACCAUUGUAUUAUUUUCAUUUUAAGGUAGUGAUCCGCCUUUCCUGUUCACAUUUAGUAUAGUUGCUGAACCUUAUAGUUGUUUUUUGAGAAUUAAGGCAGUAUGUAUUGCAGAAGUCAGGUAUAAUCCUUUCUUUUCAUUAGAUCUCAUGGCCAUCAGUUCCACAUGAAAGCUAUAGUUUGUUUUUUCCCAAUACUUCUGACAGCUAUCUGAAAUUUGAUUUUUAUUCUAAUUGAAAUUCUUGAGAGACUAGCAUUAACUGGGGAUUAGCUUUCCCAUUUAUGUAAAAUAUGUAAAUAUCCCUUGCUCUUUAGGACUAAGAAAUUGUAGUAAGAAAACAACCUUACACAAAAUAAUAAUAUAUAAUAUCUGUGUUCUAAUAACAUUUUGUUUAUAUUCCAUUUGCUUAUCUUUGAGUUAAACUAAUUUCUUAUGGCUUUGAUGUUAUAGAAAACAUGUCAUUCCAACAAUCUCAGGGUCAUACAGAUGCCCUGGUUAAAUUGGUGGAUGCAAAAAACAAAAAAUAAAACAAAACAAAACCCAGACAUGAACAUAUGCUGGUGACUUGUAGAUAGGAGAUAGCUAGUAGGCCUGGAAGGGAACUAAGCAUUAUAUACAUAGAUGAGAUUCACAACGAAUGAAUUGUAUUAUUAAAAAAUUAGAAUUUAUAUCACAACUUAAUAUUUCAUAUCUCAGGAAACCCUUAAUAAGCCAUGUGUGCCCUUUUUUAGAUAUGUCAAUAUAUUUUUCCUGAUAGUUUUCUAAAUGUUUUGCGUCUUUUAAUUUUUUUUGUUCUUUCUAUAAUUCAGACUUCUUAAAUAAUUUUUAUAUUUACUAAUAAUUUCAGUCAAAAUAUUUACGUUUCAUUCAUACACUCAACACAUUUUUAUUUAUAGUGUAGCAGAAAUUCAAGUACACACUUUUUAUAUGAUGCAGAAGGGUACAAACAAAAAAUGCUUCUCGUAUUUUUUCAGGACUUUCCAUGAAGUGUUUUGAAUGCUGAAAUUAGUUUACUGUGGCCAAGAGUUUUCUCUCAGUCAGGAGGCUAUCUUUUCAUUUUCUCUCAGUCAGGAGGCAUUCUUUACAUGAGGCUCCAUUUGUCAGUUGUUGCCUUUAUUUCCUGAGCAGUACAGUUGUAUGCAGAAAGUCCCUCCUGUGCUUCUAUUAUCGAAAGGUUUUUUUUUUUCUCUAAUGGUUGAAAGUUUUAAGUCUUGUUAAGGUGUAUGUUCAUUUUGAGUUGAUGUUUGAUGUGAAAUGAGGAUCUAAUGCAUAUAUUUAGUUUUCCAAACACUAGUUCUUGAAGGCAUCUGUGUCAAAAACCAGUUGACUAUAGGAGCCUAAGCCUUCUUUCUGGGCCUUUUUUUACUCCAUUGAUCUAUGUGUCACAACUUUUUUAUAUCAUGUCUUGUUAUUUAAUGAUAGCUCUUUUAGUAUCCUACUGGUUGAUUCCAUUCUUUGUCAUUCCAUUGUGUUAUUUAUACUGCUAUUCUUUUUUAUUUUUUUUAUUGAUUCUUUGUGCAUGUCACCUCGUACACCACAAUCCCACCCAUCUCCCCAUCCCUCCAUAUCUGCCCUCUGCCCUUGCAACCUCC